rnacentral:rRNA from 1 species
UACGGGGGGUGCAAGCGUUGUUCGGAAUUAUUGGGCGUAAAGAGCGUGUAGGCGGUUUGUUAAGUCUGAUGUGAAAGCCCUGGGCUCAACCCAGGAAGUGCAUUGGAAACUGGCAGACUUGAAUACGGGAGAUGGCAGUGGAAUUCCUAGUGUAGGAGUGAAAUCCGUAGAUAUUAGGAGGAACACCGGUGGCGAAGGCGGCUGCCUGGACCGAUAUUGACGCUGAGACGCGAAAGCGUGGGUAGCAAACAGG